CCUAAGUGGGUGGUAAACUCCAUCUAAGGCUAAAUAUGACCACGAGACCGAUAGCGAACAAGUACCGUGAGGGAAAGUUGAAAAGCACUUUGAAGAGAGAGUUCAAGAGUACGUGAAACCGUUUAGGGGUAAACCUGAGAAACCCGAAAGGUCGAAGGGAGAAAUUCAUUCGCGUUUCGCCGUUGGCGUGAGACGAUCGUGUGACGGAAAAAGCGUUCGCGAGUUUUCCGCGCUUUUCGUUUUUCGAUCCGACGGCGAACGCGUGCACUUUUCUCCUGGUAGGACGUCGCGAUCCGUUGGGUGUCGGUCUACGGCUCGCGGUGGAGCCCGGACGUUUUCUUAACGUUCGGACCCGCGUGUCCCGGCUGGCUCGCUCGACGGUAUACGAACGGUUCAGGGCCGCUUACGAGCGUUCGGCUCGUUGCAAGCACGUCAGAUGUAUGUCGGCGAUCGGACCUAGUGCCGGUUCUGACCUCUGGCGACUGUUGGCGACGAAGUUCUCGAACAGACUCUGACCGAUCUGCGACGCUAUAGCUUUGGGUACUUUCAGGACCCGUCUUGAAACACGGACCAAGGAGUCUAGCAUGUGCGCGAGUCAUUGGGAAUCACUAAACCUAAAGGCGUAAUGAAAGUAAAGGUUCGCCUCGCGCGGACCUAGGGAAGACGGGCGGUUUACCGUUAAAAGUGGCCGCYCCGCACUCCCGGGGCGUCUCGUUCUCAUCGCGAGAAGAGGCGCACCAAGAGCGUACACGCUGGGACCCGAAAGAUGGUGAACUAUGCCUGGUCAGGACGA
rnacentral:rRNA from 1 species